CCUCUUUAAUAUGAAUAUUUUCAAUACAUUCAAAUAUAGUUUUGACAUUUUUGUGAUUUCUAAAUCCAAAAAUGUCAGGUGGGUUAUUCUCAUGAACUGAUGCAAUUAGAUGUCCAAGCCCAAUGUAUGGGGAGGAAAAAAAUUAGUGUUUUAUGAUUGGUUCGCCUGUGAACACUUUUUCAUGGGCCGUGCAAGGAUUAGAGGCUACACUGAAAAUCUCAUUACUGUAACAUGCCAUGACUCUGUAACUCCAAUGAAUAAGUGUAACUUUUUAAAAUAAAAAAAUGUUUAUGAAAAUGACAUUUUAAUUAUACCACAAUACUGAGAAUUUUGUAUAAUAAAACUAAGUUUUGCAAAAUUUGUUUUCCUGAGGUCAUGUUUCUCAUUACCGUAACUUCAAAAAAACUGCAUUAAUACUAUCAAGUUUUUUUUUCCACCCAUAAUGCAUCACAAAGAAGGGAAGAUUAAAGAUGGACACAAGGUGAGACUUUCUCUCAUUAUGUCAAAAUUUUAAGGAUGUUUUACAGAUUGAAUCUCCAGGAGUUCACACUUUUUGAAAAACGUUAUUCAACAAGUGAAAUGUUUUGUUAAUGUAAGGUCAUCACAAUUGUCACCAGUAUUAGCAUCAUUAACUUAUUUCUCAUUACUGUGUAAUUUCUUUGUCGCAGUGCUGAAUUUUGCAAUUGUGCCAAAGAUUUCAUGCAUUCUUAACUCAUUUAUAAGCAACUAAAUAUGACCUGUAAUAAUGAUAAAUAACAUUAAUGGUACUCCAAAAAUACAGUGUAUAACUAAAGCAUUACUCACUGAGGAGAGGUUUUUUAUAUAACUAAAGCAUUACUCACUGAGGAGAGGUUUUUUUAUUGUAGCCUAUUUAUUUUUCUUUUGAGGUAUAUGCUACUCAGAAUGCAAAUGCUAAUUUAGGGACAGAGGUAAUUUUAUGUGUCUUUUAAAUAGUGCUUUGUUUGCAUGGUCCAUGUAAUAUUGUGUAUCCUUUUAAAGAUCAACAGAUAAGGAGAGAAUGAAAUCUUCAGUGAGUGCUAGGGUAAAGAAGCACAGAGAGAAAAUAUACAGUGACCCGGAGCUUCUAGAGGAGCACCGGAGAAAGGAGAGAGAAAGAUAUAAACAGCGAAAGGAAAGGGGUCUUCUGAAAACAGCUGCACAGCUGACUCCUACACAACAUGAAAUGCAAAAGAAAAGGUGGAGAGAAAAUACAGCAAAAUAUGCAGAACGGAAGAAAAUACAGCAAGCAUUACUCAAUCUUACCCCUCCAAUUGCCUUUGUAGAAAUUGACAUAUAACCACUGCAACAAAUACCCCCUACCUCAGCACCCAUAUAUUUUGAUACCUGAACAAUUGUGUUCAUGCCAUAUUCAUUCUUUUGGGAUACACAGAGAGAUGUUUACAGAUACACUCAUGUCUUUGGGUGCUUUUCCACUGCAUCCGGUACCCUACUUUCGGAAAAUUUUUCCACUGGCAUAAAAACUGGCACCGCUGCUGAAUGACAUCACAACGUGAUGCGGGGUAUUUUGUUCUGAAUUAGAAAAAUGUCUAUAGUAUAUUAUAGAUCUGGGUGACAUGCGAUAUAAAUGCCAACAUUGCAUGUUAUGCAAAUGCAUUUCUUACAUCACAAGAACCGCAAAAGCUAGAUUUACAUCAGGCCUUUUCAUACCUUCAUAUGGACAUUUUAGUCUGGGAGGGGGUUACAAUUUUUGUGAAAACAUUUUUACUUCUAGGGGAAAAAAAAACUUAGCAAGCUUUGCUAUUUCAAUGAUUAUUCCUUUUUAAGAUUAUCAAGCAUAUGUUUAAAAGUAUCAGUUGAAAGUUUACCUCCGCUGCUUUUGCAGUGCUUCAUGCGUUCUCCGAGAUAAUCAUUUUCAUCCUUUCUGUUUAAAUCACUCCUAGACAGGUUUGAUGGAAAUGUAUUUAUUUUGAACUCCUUUUUUGUUUUAUAAAUAUCACAAUAUUUAUUACAACAAAAUCACAUUGCAAUAUUUGAAAAUAUUCUAAUAUCACACAGCCCUAGUAUAUUAUCCAGAAUUUCUUGUCAUUCCAUCCUGAUCUUGUAUCUGUUCUUCUGACCAGAUUACAGUUAAAGCUUGGAUCCCCCCAUUUUUCCAUGCAUCCACUAUUAUUACUUGAAUAACUAUUAUAACCUUAACAAUUAUUACUUUAAUUGUUGUUUUCUGAGUUUGUGCUAUUUGCAUAACCAACAAGAAAAUGUUUGCAAGUCACACCCUGAAGUAUCGAAGUACCAAAAAAGUUUCCUAGUUUAGGGACUGGGAUUUUUGGUACUAGUACUUGAACGGAUGUUAAUGGAAAAGAGAAAGCACCAUACCAAAAGUGCGGCACCCGGUGCAGUGGAAAAGCUCCCUAUGUAAACCUGUACUGGUUUAUAUUAUAUUUUAUGUUAUGAAAUACCCUGCUGCAGUGCUCAUUACCAUUACUGUAUGAAUCUACUUUAUAAACUCAAGUUAUACAGCUUGUUGUCUAAAUCUGGGGUGGUAAAAUGGUUUUAUUAAAUUACCUUUUUUUUCUGUAAUAAUCAGAAGAAUUUUGUCAAAUCCAGGGCAAGAGUUACGGUAAUAAGAAAAAAAAGUAACAAAAAUUGAACAAGAUGUAUAUCUUAUCAUGCAAAUUUAUUAUUGGGGGUCACAUGCAAUUAAAUUGGAGGAUUUAACUUUAGUUUUGUGUUUUAUGUCAUCUUAAAACUGUUACAGUAAUGAGAUGUAAUAAAUGGUUCAAAAAUAAUUCAGACCAACAAAUGUUGUAUACAAAAACAAGCUCCAUAUUUCAUUAUAACAUUUUAAAAAGUUCAUGAGAAGAACUCAAAAAUUUUGAUUUUAAAAAUGUAUGUGUAAACUCUAUCAAGGACAUAACUAUUUGUACAUAUCCAAGCGGAUGCCUGUUUAAAUUGAAAUGAGCUUGAGAAAUCAGGUGGCACAUCUGCAGUUAAUAUUGCUACUUUAAGUUUUUAAUCCUAUAAAGCAAGUUGUAUCAUAUUUGAUACUUGGUAUUCUUAGAUUAUUAAAUUAAAUUAUUAUUAAAAAAUAAUAAUAAAAGCAGUUGUAUAGCA